CAAUAGCGUAUAUUAAAGUUGUUGCGGUUAAAAAGCUCGUAGUUGGAUUUCUGCCGAGGACGACCGGUCCGCCCUCUGGGUGUGUAUCUGGUUUGGCCUGGGCAUCUUCUUGGAGGACGUAGCUGCACUUGACUGUGUGGUGCGGUGUCCAGGACUUUUACUUUGAGGAAAUUAGAGUGUUUCAAGCAGGCACACGCCUUGAAUACAUUAGCAUGGAAUAAUAAGAUAGGACCUCGGUUCUAUUUUGUUGGUUUCUAGAGCUGAGGUAAUGAUUAAUAGGGAUAGUUGGGGGCAUUCGUAUUUAACUGUCAGAGGUGAAAUUCUCGGAUUUGUUAAAGACGGACUACUGCGAAAGCAUUUGCCAAGGAUGUUUUCAUUGA
rnacentral:rRNA from 1 species